AGACAAGGAAGGGAGGUGGAGGGAGGAGAGGAUGGUUUGGGGUAAUGGAAUGAGGGAGGGUUGUGGGAUAUGGGAUGCAAUGAGCUUGUGUGCAUGUUCGGGAGUCUCUCUCGCUUUCUCAGACACACGCAUACUGGCUAUGCUGUCUUUCCCUAUGAUUUUUUUUUUUUCUGUGUACAUUACAUUUAUCUAUUUGAGAUGCAGUUACGCUUGUUCUCAUUAUUGCAACUAUUGUUUUUUUGUUGUAAUUUGUGUUUUGUUGUUUUACUUUCUUCUACUGCCCCAGAGGGUCUUGAUUGAUCACAUGCACUUUUCCUUUGUUUUGUUCAGUUUGGAUCAUAUGCAAUAUCACAGCACCCCACCACCAUCAUCAACAGACAUUCACAUCUCUCUCCCCCUCUCUUUUGCCAUUCUCUCUCUCUCUCUCUCUCUCUCUCUCUCACACACACACACACACACACGCACACACACACACACACACACACACUGACUAAUACCAUCUCUUCAUGGCAGAAAUGGUUCCUGUGAGAGGGUUGAAAAGACAGUGGGGCAAAUGAGGAAUCAGAAAUAUACAGGGAAGCACAAGAUCACUGAAAACCACAUGCGUAUAUUGCUUUUGUGUGGGGCUUUUACUGAAUUGAAUAAUUACUCCUAUGUGUCCUGACAUAAUUCAUGUCACGAAAGCCUAAUCUCAUUUAAUUGGUGUUAACUCUACACAUUCUGAAACAUUUUUGUAUGUUCUGGUUGGCAGGGCCGGCCCAGACUCCCUAGGUAAGAUUUAAGAUUGUUACUCCUGACUGUUGAGAGUACAUCAAUAUGAAGACAAAGCCAAAUCUUGGACAUUUUUAGCCAGUUUUGAACUCCCGGCCAGAGGCUUUUUUCCAGUCAGAAAAAAAGGUCAUGUAUGGGAAAAAGAGGACGAAUCCGUACUGAAAGGAUGUUAGUGGCACAUUUCACUCAACACAAGUUUAGAGGGGCACACAGUCAUAAUGAAAAGAAGCACUUCUGACAAAUAAAACUAAAACUAAAUAAAUAAAUAAAAUCCUCUUGUGCAGAGCCCCACUGUCAUUUUGUGGUCUAGGCAACUGCCUAUGUCACCCAUGCCACUUACUGUAUGUCACCCUUUUGCUUGUAUUCAUCUUAAUUUUAACACGUGUGAAACCAAGAUCAGUUUACAAUAGAUCAGGUUUAUUCUCUGUGUUGAUGGGUUCAUCUGUGAAUUUUCAGAAGAUUCUUAGAACCUCUUGAAACGGAGUUUCAUAUUUUGUUCUCAAGCAGUUUUGUUGAAACUGUUAUUUUUCUGCUCAGUUGUGAGCCCAGCUUUGAAUUGUUAUCAGUGCUUUAUCAAUGUCAAAGACAGCCUUCAUUUGUGCUGGGGCCACAUUCUUACCAUGUACAAUAUAAGGAAUGUGGACUCUUGUUUCAGAACAGUGGACCAAAUAUUCAGCAAUGAACCAAGAGUGAGGCAGGGAAAGUUGGUAAGAAAUCACACCCUUAUUAUGCAAUUAGCUAUUUUUAAUAUAUAAUAUAAAGACAUAGCAUAUCACAAAUAUGCUUUAUUUGGAAGAAAGGGUCAUCUUCACUCUACACUGGGAAAAAAGGUUAGCCGAAAAAUUUGCUCCAUGUGGUUACAUCUAAAUAAGCAGGUAGAAUUCAAAUCAAACAUAUUAUUUAACAUCACUAAAUCAAUCUGAAUAGAUUAGGUUACACCAAAAAAAAAAAAAAAAAAAAAAAAAAUCAUUUUAAGGGUUGGAUCAGGUAGAAAUAGUUCCUUAAGGUAACAAUUGUUACCAAUUGUGCUAUGUGUUUUUUCUUUCUUUCUUUCUCAGGGAGAGGCUAUGACCUGAUGCUGAAGAACAUCUUGCUGAAAUUAUGCCUAGUGGAGGAAUUUGACCAGAGGACAAAUAAAGUGUAUGAGAACAGGUUACAGGAAGCAGCAAACAAUUUCAUUGCUGUGGCCUCAAGGCUGCCUAGAGCCUCUGGAUGUUUCCCCUCCUGUGAUGAGUGACAUGUUCCUUCAUCACUGGUCUCAAAUGGCAUAGCUCUUCUGUACACUUCUUCUCCAAACUUAUAAACAAAUUCAUUUUAAAUCUACUUCAGGGCUGGAAUUCCCCCCCCCCCCCCCCCCCACACACACACACACUAAUGGCCCCACUAAUCUAGAAUAUUUGUUUACAGCCUUUUAACCUUGAUCUAUUUUUACAUUUGAUUACAUUGUUUCAAA